rnacentral:rRNA from 1 species
AGCAUAUCAAUAAGCGGAGGAAAAGAAACCAACAGGGAUUGUCUUAGUAACGGCGAGUGAAGCGACAAAAGCUCAAAUUUGAAAUCUGGCACCUUCGGUGUCCGAGUUGUAAUUUGAAGAAGGUAACUUUGGAGUUGGCUCUUGUCUAUGUUCCUUGGAACAGGACGUCACAGAGGGUGAGAAUCCCGUGCGAUGAGAUGUCCAACUCUAUGUAAAGUGCUUUCGAAGAGUCGAGUUGUUUGGGAAUGCAGCUCUAAGUGGGUGGUAAAUUCCAUCUAAAGCUAAAUAUUGGCGAGAGACCGAUAGCGAACAAGUACAGUGAUGGAAAGAUGAAAAGAACUUUGAAAAGAGAGUGAAAAAGUACGUGAAAUUGUUGAAAGGGAAGGGUUUGAGAUCAGACUUGGUAUUUUGUAUGUCUUGCUUUCGGGUGGGGCCUCUGCAGUUUACUGGGCCAGCAUCGGUUUGGACGGUAGGAUAAUGACAUUGGAAUGUGGCACUACUUCGGUGGUGUGUUAUAGACU